rnacentral:rRNA from 1 species
GAUGAACGCUGGCGGCGUGCCUAAUACAUGCAAGUCGAGCGAACGGACGAGAAGCUUGCUUCUCUGAUGUUAGCGGCGGACGGGUGAGUAACACGUGGAUAACCUACCUAUAAGACUGGGAUAACUUCGGGAAACCGGAGCUAAUACCGGAUAAUAUUUUGAACCGCAUGGUUCAAAAGUGAAAGACGGUCUUGCUGUCACUUAUAGAUGGAUCCGCGCUGCAUUAGCUAGUUGGUAAGGUAACGGCUUACCAAGGCAACGAUGCAUAGCCGACCUGAGAGAGUGAUCGGCCAAACUGGAACUGAGACACGGUCCAGACUCCUACGGGAGGCAGCAGUAGGGAAUCUUACGCAAUGGGCGAAAGCCUGACGGAGCAACGCCGCGUGAGUGAUGAAGGUCUUCGGAUCGUAAAACUCUGUUAUUAGGGAAGAACAUAUGUGUAAGUAACUGUGCACAUCUUGACGGUACCUAAUCAGAAAGCCACGGCUAACUACGUG